rnacentral:tRNA from 1 species
GCCGGGGUGGCACAAUCUGGUACUGCGCUGGCCUUGAGAGCCAGUUUCCUUUGGAUAUGCUGGUUCGAAUCCGGCUCCCGGCG